AUGAACGCUAGCGGCAGGCCUAAUACAUGCAAGUCGAACGCUCAGUAGCAAUACUGGGAGUGGGGCACGGGUGCGUAACGCGUACACAAUCUACCUCUAAGCGGGGGACACCUCCUGGAAACGGGGAUUAAUACCGCAUAAUAUGCCGAAGUCGCAUGACUUUGGUAUUAAAGCAGCAAUGCACUUAGAGAUGAGUGUGCGUCCCAUUAGGUAGUUGGUGAGGUAACGGCUCACCAAGCCUAUGAUGGGUAGCCGGUCUGAGAGGAUGGUCGGCCACACGGGCACUGAGACACGGGCCCGACUCCUACGGGAGGCAGCAGUAAGGAAUAUUGGUCAAUGGUGGAAACACUGAACCAGCCCAUGCCGCGUGGAGGAAUAAGGUCCUACGGAUUGUAAACUCCUUUUGACGAGGAAGAAAAUGUUAGAUUUAUCUAAUUUUGACGGUACUCGUAGAAUAAGCACCGGCUAACUCCGUG
rnacentral:rRNA from 1 species